rnacentral:tRNA from 2 species
GCCCAGGUGGCGAAAUUGGUAGACGCACUGCUUUCAGGUAGCAGCGCCGCAAGGUGUACUGGUUCGAAUCCAGUCCCGGGCACAA